rnacentral:rRNA from 1 species
AACGAACGCUGGCGGCAUGCCUAACACAUGCAAGUCGAACGAGACCUUCGGGUCUAGUGGCGCACGGGUGCGUAACGCGUGGGAACCUGCCCUUAGGUUCGGAAUAACUCCCCGAAAGGGGUGCUAAUACCGGAUAAUGUCUUCGGACCAAAGAUUUAUCGCCUUUGGAUGGGCCCGCGUUGGAUUAGCUAGUUGGUAGGGUAAAAGCCUACCAAGGCGACGAUCCAUAGCUGGUCUGAGAGGAUGAUCAGCCACACUGGGACUGAGACACGGCCCAGACUCCUACGUGAGGAAGCAGUGGGGAAUAUUGGACAAUGGGCGAAAGCCUGAUCCAGCAAUGCCGCGUGAGUGAUGAAGGCUUUAGGGUUGUAAAGCUCUUUUACCCGGGAUGAUAAUGACAGUACCGGGAGAAUAAGCUCCGGCUAACUCCGU